rnacentral:rRNA from 1 species
CCUACGGGUGGCAGCAGUGGGGAAUAUUGGACAAUGGGCGAAAGCCUGAUCCAGCCAUGCCGCGUGUGUGAAGAAGGCCUUCGGGUUGUAAAGCACUUUCAGUGGGGAAGAAAGCCUUGGGGCUAAUACCCUCGAGGAAGGACAUCACCCACAGAAGAAGCACCGGCUAACUCCGUGCCAGCAGCCGCGGUAAUACGGAGGGUGCGAGCGUUAAUCGGAAUUAUUGGGCGUAAAGCGCGCGUAGGCGGUCUGAUAAGCCGGUUGUGAAAGCCCCGGGCUCAACCUGGGAACGGCAUCCGGAACUGUCAGGCUAGAGUGCAGGAGAGGAAGGUAGAAUUCCCGGUGUAGCGGUGAAAUGCGUAGAGAUCGGGAGGAAUACCAGUGGCGAAGGCGGCCUUCUGGACUGACACUGACGCUGAGGUGCGAAAGCGUGGGUAGCAAACAGGAUUAGAUACCCCUGUAGUC